rnacentral:rRNA from 1 species
AGGACGAACGCUGGCGGCGUGCUUAACACAUGCAAGUCGAGCGGAAAGGCCCUUCGGGGUACUCGAGCGGCGAACGGGUGAGUAACACGUGAGUAAUCUGCCCAUCGCUUCAGGAUAGCCAUCGGAAACGGUGAUUAAUACUGGAUAUGACAUUCCUUCGCAUGUUGGGGUGUGGAAAGUUUUUUCGGCGGUGGAUGUGCUCGCGGCCUAUCAGCUUGUUGGUGGGUAAUGGCCUACCAAGGCUUUGACGGGUAGCCGGCCUGAGAGGGUGACCGGCCACACGUGGGACUGGAGACACGGCCCAGCUCCGUAGGGAGGCAGCAGGUGGGAAUAGUGGACAAGUGGGCGAAGCUGAUCCAGCACGCGCGUGAGGAUGACGGUCCGUUCGGUCGUAACCUC